rnacentral:lncRNA from 10 species
GACUACAGGCGCCCGCCAUCACGCCCGGCUAAUUUUGUGUAUUUUUUAGUAGAGACGGGGUUUCACCGUGUUAGCCAGGAUGGUCUCGAUCUCCUGACCUCGUGAUCCGCCCGCCUCGGCCUCCCAAAGUGCUGGGAUUACAGUCUGGAGCCACCGCGCCCGGCCCUGAGAUGUCUCCAAGUGGUGGUGAGACAUCAUCAAAUCCUAAGAAACAAUAUACUUGAAGAUUUUUCACUCACUGCAUCAAAGACAAGAAUGAGGCAGAUGAAAACCAUACGCAAAAACACAACAAAUAGAAAAGAGAUUCCACCAAAAGCAAUCAUCAAGAAAAUGUCUCCAGUGAGAUUCCCAUUGUUGUGAAGGGGCGUGUAAGUAUAUUUGCACUCAGACAGCUUCAGAAGUGCUUGCCUGAUGAAAAGGACUCACCAAGAGCUGAAGAGUUUGGCAUCACAGUCCAAGUGGUUCCUUGUUGGCAAUGGCCAUUGUCAUCAUAAGGCUGGAUUUAACUUCAG